UCGGAACCUAGACUUCGUUCAGAACACACGUGCUUAUUCGCGAAACUCUCCAUUGUUUUCGAAAUUGCAAGUGGUUUUUUUAUUGCGUGAACGGACUUCUUGAAAAUAUUUUUUAUGGAUUCAGGACAACAUGAUGGCGUCAGAUUGCCAACGAAUAUAUGACAGCGUGCUCAGAAUGACACCCUACUCAUCGAGAAUGUGCAACGCACCGCCGAUCAGGGAACCAACAAUUGCAUAGCCCGCAACAAGCACAACUAUACGGCGCAACGGACGGUGGAGACGAAAGUUUUGGUUAUGGUAUGAAAACUAUUUUCCACGAUUAUUUAAGUCGUUAAAAUGUGACCAAUUAUAUACCGCUAACCGACUCAAGAAGCAUGGAGUAUGGAUGAGUUUUGAGGAAGUGGCCGUCGCAUCCACAAACUUAACGAAGGCGACAAUUUCAUCAUCAUGGCGCACAUGAACCAAAACACAGGAGUUGUGGAAUUUUAAAAACCCGGUCGGAGGCAAUAAAGUUGGUUUGCAAAAUUCGCAAGGAUAAAAUAACUUUAUGCUGAAGUAGAAACUUUGAAAAUGAUACCGACAACUGAGUUCAGUUCCCUGCCAAUGAACUGGUCUCUCUAUGUUCUUUUUUGUAGUUUGUAACGGAAGAAAUAAAAUGUAUAAAUUUAAAUGCAA